rnacentral:rRNA from 1 species
UACGGAGGAUGCGAGCGUUAUCCGGAUUUAUUGGGUUUAAAGGGUGCGUAGGCGGACGCUUAAGUCAGCGGUAAAAUUGCGGGGCUCAACCUCGUCGAGCCGUUGAAACUGGGUGCCUUGAGUGGGCGAGAAGUACGCGGAAUGCGUGGUGUAGCGGUGAAAUGCAUAGAUAUCACGCAGAACUCCGAUUGCGAAGGCAGCGUACCGGCGCCCAACUGACGCUGAAGCACUAAGGCGUGGGUAUCGAACAGG